GACGAACGCUGGCGGCGUGCCUUACACAUGCAAGUCGAACGGCAGCACGGGUGCUUGCACCUGGUGACGAGUGGCGAACGGGUGAGUAAUAUAUCUGUACGUACCUUAUUGUGGGGGAUAACGCAGCGAAAGCUGUGCUAAUACCGCAUAAUCCCAAAGUGGGAAAGCGGGGGACCGUAAGGCCUCGCGCAAUUAGAGCGGCCGAUACCUGAUUAGCUAGUUGGUGAGGUAGAGGCUCACCAAGCGAACGAUCAGUAGCUGGUCUGAGAGGACGAGCAGCCACAGGGGGACUGAGACACGGCACAGACUCCUAGGGGAGGGAGCAGGGGGGAAUUUUGGAAAAUGGGGGAAACCGUGAUCCAGCAAUGCCGCGUGAGUGAAGGAGGCCUUCGGGUUGUAACGCUCUUUUGUGAGGGAAGAAACAGCAGCUCUAACACAGUAUGAGAAUGACGGUACCUGAAGAAUAAGCACCGGCUAACUACGUGCCAGCAGCCGCAGUAA
rnacentral:rRNA from 1 species